GGGUCUCUAUCUCAGUGGUAGAGCAGCUGACUGCAGAUCAGCAGGACUCCGGUUCGAUCCCGGAGGGGCCCU
rnacentral:tRNA from 1 species